GGGAGCGGAAGGGCACCUGGUGGGCUCCCCGGGCUUCAAACCCGUGGUACCGGUCACAAGCUGGUAGGUGGGUUCGAUUCCCAUGCGCUCCCGCCA
rnacentral:tRNA from 1 species